CUGUGGCUCCUUGGACAGUGAAGCUCACAUGUUUCAUGCACCUGUAGCUAAGAAUUUGUCUCUUUAGAAUCGUCCUGAACUUCAGUGCGAGUGUGUAGGUGCUUUUGAAUAUUUAGGAGUGGCAUCUGGUUGUCUUUUAGCCUAGCCUAGCAACUUGUUGAACUAAGCCCAGACUUGCACUGUGGAGAUAGGAUGUGGAAGGUGAGUCCUAGGUUUCUAAAAGAUAAAAACCAAGUCACUGUGGUGUAUUGCUCAAUCCUGCAACCUGCCUCUAAAUUCCUUGACUGAGACUGUUGGACAAAAUAAACCAAGUCACCAAUUCGACAAACUAGCCAGGCAGUCCAGUGUGCCCAGCUGGCUUUGAUGGUCUCAAUGACUUCGCCCCUUGACAUCUACUGGCUGUAGUACUUCUGCCCCUCACCCACACAGCAGCAGAAGCCUGGGCAACUUACCUUCAGGGACUGUUCCAGGAGGAAGCAUUUCCAUGAUGAACUUAUGGUUGAAAUUCUGGGCAGGGCCAAGAAGCAGGCCAAGUACCAAAGACAGAGGGACUUAAGGGUAGAAAAAGGCAUUCUGCAAGGCCAGACGCAAGACUCAAGCUGCCUGCAGAACUUGAGAGCAGGAUUUCAAUGUGGGAGCAGGUAUUUGCUUUUCAGUUCCUGGAAAAGGUAUGGCAGCUAAGGGAGGAGGACAGAGCUCAAUGGAAAGACCUGUUUGAGUGGCUGAUAUCACCAGCUCCUGCUGCAUCCUAUGGUUUGAUUCCCCUCGAUGAUACCCUGUGCUGCAGUCCAGAAAAGGAUUGUAAAACUCAUGGCUGGGUGGACCAUGCAAUUGUGCCCCAUGAGCAACUGGGCAGAGCAACUUUGUCUCAUGCAGUCCUCUGUAAUGACCCCCCCUUCCCCUGUAUAUGCCUCCACCUUCACCCCUGGUGCCACAUAUAGCAAUCUGGAAAGGGAGAAUGUGGGGACUGGGAACAUGCAAUGGUAGGGGCGUUCUGUCUCUUACAUGGUUUCACUGUUUGCACUUGUUCAUGCACUAUUUUUAUUGUUAGGUUCUGCUGUUACUUAUGUUUUGGUGUGGUACUGGCAACUGACCUGCCUGGCAGUGGAUCAAUGUUGUAAUUUUUGAAUACAUGUUUAUAAAUCUUUUAUUUUACUGGAAAGUUUAUUGUAAUUGUAUCACAUCAUACAAUGUGUGCAUUUAAAUAAAGGUUAAAAAUAUGAUCAGA